rfam:Apaloderma vittatum contig19378, whole genome shotgun sequence.
GGUCGAUUAGCUCAGUCAGUUGAGCAUAGCACUAACAACGCUAAGGUCGCGGGUUCGAUUCCCGUUAGGUCCC